AUUGAACGCUGGCGGCAUGCCUUACACAUGCAAGUCGAACGGUAACAGGUCUUCGGAUGCUGACGAGUGGCGAACGGGUGAGUAAUACAUCGGAACGUGCCUAGUAGUGGGGGAUAACUACUCGAAAGAGUGGCUAAUACCGCAUGAGAUUUACGGAUGAAAGCAGGGGAUCGCAAGACCUUGUGCUACUAGAGCGGCCGAUGGCAGAUUAGGUAGUUGGUGGGAUAAAAGCUUACCAAGCCGACGAUCUGUAGCUGGUCUGAGAGGACGAUCAGCCACACUGGGACUGAGACACGGCCCAGACUCCUACGGGAGGCAGCAGUGGGGAAUUUUGGACAAUGGGCGCAAGCCUGAUCCAGCAAUGCCGCGUGCAGGAUGAAGGCCUUCGGGUUGUAAACUGCUUUUGUACGGAACGAAAAGCCCUGGGUUAAUACCCUGGGGUCAUGACGGUACCGUAAGAAUAGGCACCGGCUAACUACGUGCCAGCAGCCGCAGUAAAAC
rnacentral:rRNA from 1 species